rnacentral:rRNA from 1 species
GAUGAACGCUGGCGGCGUGCCUAAUACAUGCAAGUCGAGCGAACAGACGAGGAUCUUGCUCCUCUUACGUUAGCGGCGGAAGGGUGAGUAACACGUGGAUAACCUACCUAUAAGACUGGGAUAACUUCGGGAAACCGGCGCUAAUACCGGACAAUAUAUUGAACCGCAUGGUUCAAUAGUUAAAGACGGUUUUGCUGUCACUUAUAGACGGAUCCGCGCCGCAUUAGCUAGUUGGUAAGGUAACGCCUUACCAAGGCAACGAUGCGUAGCCGACCUGAGAGGGUGAUCGGCCACACUAGAACUGAGACGCGGUCCAGGCUCCUACGGGAGGCAGCAGUAGGGAAUCGUCCGCAAGGGGCGAAAGCCUGACGGAGCAACGCCGCGUGAGUUAUGAAGGUCUUCGGAUCGUAAAACUCUGUUAUUAGGGAAGAACAAAUGUGUAAGUAACUAUGCACGUCUUGACGGUACCUAAUCAGAAAGCCACGGCUAACUACGUG